rnacentral:snRNA from 1 species
GUGCUCACUUUGGUAGCACAUAUACUAAAAUUGGAAGGAUACAGAGAAGAUUAGCAUGGCCCCUGCACAAGGAUGACACACCAAUUCAGGAAGCAUUCCAUAUUUUU